UGGCAAGAUGUGUAUUUGCUAUACCGCCACAAGUGACGGCACAGCAAAUACUAGGUAACUUAUUCGCCUACGGCUCAACGAUCUUGCCCUUGCAGGGA
rfam:Thiothrix lacustris isolate A8 Ga0073116_1035, whole genome shotgun sequence.